rnacentral:rRNA from 1 species
UGCAAGCGUUGUCCGGAAUUAUUGGGCGUAAAGAGCGUGUAGGCGGCUCGAUUAGUCCGCUGUGAAAGUCCAGGGCUCAACCCUGGAAUGCCGGUGGAUACUGUCGAGCUAGAGUCCGGAAGGGGCGAGUGGAAUUCCUGGUGUAGCGGUGAAAUGCGCAGAUAUCAGGAGGAACACCAAUGGCGAAGGCAGCUCGCUGGGACGUGACUGACGCUGAGACGCGAAAGCGUGGGGAGCGAACAGG